GUAUCUCUUUAUAAGAUUUGACCUUAGGCGAAUCGGGCACCGGUCUCGAAAACCGGUGACCCCUUUUGGGGUCCGAGGGUUCGAAUCCCUCCCUCU
rnacentral:tRNA from 1 species